GAUGAAGAACGUAGCGAAAUGCGAUAAGUAGUGUGAAUUGCAGAAUUCAGUGAAUCAUCGAAUCUUUGAACGCACAUUGCGCCCCUUGGUAUUCCAUGGGGCAUGCCUGUUCGAGCGUCAUUUGUACCCUCAAGCUUUGCUUGGUGUUGGGUGUUUGUCCCGCGUUGCGCGUGGACUCGCCUUAAAGCGAUUGGCAGACGGCAUAUUGGCCUUGGAGCGCAGCACAUUUUGCGCUUCUAGUCAUGAAUGUUGGCGUCCAUUAAGCCUAUACAUUUGCUCUUGACCUCGGAUCAGGUAGGGAUACCCGCUGAACUUAAGCAUAUCAAUAGCGGAGGA
rnacentral:misc_RNA from 1 species